rnacentral:lncRNA from 10 species
GCUUACUGAAACAACAGUGUGCCUAUUUACUUUUCACUUGUAUGCUAUUAUGAGAAUCGAACAAUUAGGAGGCAUACUGAAUUUUUUUCAGCUUGGGGUGUCCGUUUCAUGUGUUUUCCUGUCUGAGAUAAAGCUGUGUAAAACACAAAGUUGAAUCCAGUGGGUUUUAUGGCAGUUUCCCACCUGCUCUCCCAGUAUGGCCCACAUGUCUGGCAAUUACAUGUUGCUCCACAUAGCCCUCCUUGUAGCUUGGGCUUCCUGACAGCAUGGCAGUUUCAGAGUGGUUAAACUUUUUCACAGGCAGCUGGCCUCAAAGAGGGAAAACAGAAACUGCCAGGCCUCUAAACAUACAGGCCUGGAACUGGCACAGCUAUAUAUCUGCCAAAACAAUUCAUAAUGCCAGUCCAGAUUCAAGUGAAGGGUGAAAAAACUCCACCUCCUGAUAUGUAGAAUAACAUGUCCAUAUAGGAAGGGAAGGACUUGAUGCAAGCCAUCUUUGGAGACUUUACUACACUGACUCCUCUGCCUGAAAUGUUAUUAGUAUUUCCAAAGGUCUUGACAUGGUCCCUGGCCUUAUUCUCACUAUUCAGCACUCAGCAUAAACGUCAUCACCAAGGCCAUCACCAACCCCAUCUAUCUCAAAUAAACCUACUGUCACUUUGAAUUUACUUUCUUCAUUUCUGCAUUUCCUGAUUUUUGUUUAUUGCAUAUUGCAAUUACUUAUUGCAUAUUGUUUAUUUUUUGUUUAUUGUCUAUCCUUAACUCUCCCUAUUCCCCAUUGGAAUGUAAGCUCCCUGAUAGCAAGCAACUUGGCUUUCUUAUUCUCUACACACUCUUCAUAAUCUAGAAAAGAGAGAGGACUCAAUAUUCUUUCUGAAUGAAUGAACACCUAACUCAGUUCUCAUAUGACCAAAGCCAGCACUAGUAAAUGUGGUUGGUGAAAACAAAUGUCUUUUUCUAUCCUAGGUGAGAAUAGUAUUUUUAGAACAUUUUUAUUCAUUUAUUUUUCUCUCUAGAAUGACAGAUUUCUUGAUGAACAUAUAAUAUAAAAUUAGUAUUUCUGCUUCCUAAUAACAUUUUGGAUUUCUUCUGGAUAAAAUAAUCUCAGGUUUCAUGAAACUUCUCAAUUUCGAUAAAUGACUAAGCAGAAUUUUAUUUUCCCUGGGCAAAGUCAAGGGAUAAUAUUCACAUUACACCCUUGAUUUUCUUUCUGUCAAUAGUGUAAUGUUAUAGUAAAUCAACAUCCUUAAAGAAGUCAUAUCUUAAGGUGGUAAUAGGCAACCCAGAGAUUUUAUGCCAUUAUUUUUAUUGGGUUAAUAAUGAUAAUAGCUAAAUGUCUUAAGCAGGUGCUUAGUGCCGGGUCCUGGGCUAUGUACUUCACAUGGACCAGCUCAGGGGUUGUCCUAAGUCUUAUGACCAAAAGAGUCUUCUGCUGCCUUUGAGCAAGUGUUUCUGACCCUCGGGAAUAUGCCUUUUACAAGUAUCACCAUUUAAACAACUUCCCUCUUAAUCCUCUUGAAUAUCUAAAAGAAGAGAGAGAGGUGCUUUGAUACAUUACUUUUCAACGGUGGCUGAUCUCUUCCCUGGGACAAUCAUGUUAUAAUGUACCACCUUAUCAAUUUAAACAUGAAAUUCACAGCAUUUCUUUUUUACUUUGAGAUGUUGGUCAGCUCUGUUCCCCAAAAUAGGAUACUGCUGACUGCAUCAAAAAAUAUCAAUUAUGUGAGUUUUAGCAGUCUCUUUUAAAUUGCAUUUGUAUUUAAUGACCUCUUUCCUUAAGGGAAUAAAGAUACCUGCAAACCUGAUACUUUAUACUUCUUAUUAGGUACAUCUGCCUAUACCUUAAAUAAAUAACAAUUUUUGCAUACAAAUAUGUAAUCUUAUGGUAAAUGCUAUUCUAAAAAUUAAUGUUUUGUUAAAAUUCUUCCAAGAUAUGUGAAUGUAUUUUGAUUUCUUUUUUUUUUUCAAAAUUGACAGAGUUGCUUAGGUUUUCUUCUUACAAAUACUUUCCAUAAAGUAUCCAACUAAAAUGCUUGGAAAUGUGUCCA